rnacentral:rRNA from 1 species
GAUGAACGCUGGCGGCGUGCUUAACACAUGCAAGUCGAACGGAAAGGCCUGUACUUGUACAGGUACUCGAGUGGCGAACGGGUGAGUAACACGUGGGUGAUCUGCCCUGCACUGUGGGAUAAGCCCGGGAAACUGGGUCUAAUACCAUAUAGGACCACUUCUUGGAUGUUGUGGUGGAAAGCUUUUGCGGUGUGGGAUGAGCCUGCGGCCUAUCAGCUUGUUGGUGGGGUAAUGGCCUACCAAGGUGGCGACGGGUAGCCGGCCUGAGAGGGUGUACGGACACAUUGGGACUGAGAUACGGCCCAGACUCCUACGGGAGGCAGCAGUGGGGAAUAUUGCACAAUGGGCGCAAGCCUGAUGCAGCGACGCCGCGUGGGGGAUGACGGCCUUCGGGUUGUAAACUCCUUUCGCUAUCGACGAAGCCACCUUGGGUGGUGACGGUAGGUAGACAAGAAGCACCGGCUAACUACGUGCCAGCAGCCGCCGUAA